UCAACAUCGAGGCCGCAUUCUUCACCGCGUUUUCUCGUUUAGCCUGGGCAAUCGGAAUUUCUUGGGUGAUCUUUGCUUGUCAGACGGGAUAUGAAGGAUUCAUUGGACAUGUCCUGGGCUAUCCAUUAUGGAAUCCGUUGAGUCGAAUGACGUACGAGUGUUAUCUAAUUCAUCUGCCCAUGAUUUAUGCAUUCCAUAAGUCGAGGAAGAGUGUCAUGUACUUUGACAAAUUCUUCAUGUUCUACGUCUUUAUGGGUCACUUGAUCGUGAGUGUGAUUCUGUCCGUGUUCCUAACCUUAAUGUUUGAAUCCCCCUUCAUCGGCCUUGAAAAGCUCUUGUUCAGUGGGCCUCAAAAGAAACGGGCAGAGUUCAAGAGACAGCAAUCUCAGAUACAG